ensembl:lncRNA
UGGUUCUAUGCAAAGGCUGUUGAUUGGAUGUUGAGAUGUGGGUGUGGAAUUUGAAAACUAUUAAAUUAAAAAUUAAAUUAAAUUUAUGCAUUUAGCAGACGCUUUUGUCCAAAGCGACUUACAGUGCAUUCAGGCUAUCAAUUUUUUCCAAUCAUGUGUUCCCGGGAAAUCGAACCCCUAACCUUAUUAUUAUUAUUAUUAUCAAAAAUAUUUAUUUUGCCUGGUCAUGGUUCCUGUCUAGUCAUGUGAUUCCUUGCCCUCAUGUUAUCCUGCUAUUGGUUCCUUUUUUCAAUGUGUCAUGUUCUCAUUGGUUGUCUUAGUCAUGUGUCUUGUCUCUCAUUGGUUGGUUUUUGUCAGGUGUCUCUUUUUGUUUGAUAAAUAUAUAGCCCUCAUGUUGCCAUUGUCUCUUUUCAAGUAUUGUCCCUGUACCUCUGUUGGUGAGUUCUUGCUUAUACCAAGUCUGUUCAUGCCAUGCCAAGUCAAGUCUGUUCAAGUCAAGUCUGUUCAAGUCAAGUCUUCUCAAGUCAAGUCCGUUCAUGCCAAGUCAAGUCUGUUCAAGUCAAGUCUGUUCAAGUCAAGUCUGCACAAGUCAAGUCUGUUCAAGUCAAGUCUGUUCAUGCCAUGCCAAGUCAAGUCUGUCCAAGUCAAGUCUGCUCAAGUCAAGUCUGUUCAAGUCAAGUCUGUUCAAGUCAAGUCUGCUCAAGUCAAGUCUGCUCAAGUCUGUUCAUGCCAAGUCAACUCUGUUCAAGUCAAGUCUGUUCAAGUCAAGUCUGUUCAAGUCAAGUCUGCUCAAGUCAAGUCUGCUCAAGUCAAGUCUGCUCAAGUCAAGUCUGCACAAGUCAAGUCUGUUCAAGUCAAGUCUGUUCAAGUCAAGUCUGCUCAAGUCAAGUCUGUUCAAGUCAAGUCUGCACAAGUCAAGUCUGUUCAAGUCAAGUCUGCUCAUGCCAAGCCAAGUCUGCUCAAGUCAAGUCAAGUCUUUCUUCGUUUGGUUGGAUGUUUGGAUUCACCUUGUUAAAAUAAAGCUGCACUCUCACUACGCUCGCCG